GAUGAACGCUGGCGGCGUGCCUAAUACAUGCAAGUCGAGCGAAUGGAUUGAGAGCUUGCUCUUAUGAAGUUAGCGGCGGACGGGUGAGUAACACGUGGGUAACCUGCCCAUAAGACUGGGAUAACUCCGGGAAACCGGGGCUAAUACCGGAUAACAUUUUGAACCGCAUGGUUCGAAAUUGAAAGGCGGCUUCGGCUGUCACUUAUGGAUGGACCCGCGUCGCAUUAGCUAGUUGGUGAGGUAACGGCUCACCAAGGCAACGAUGCGUAGCCGCCCUGGGAGGGGGAUGGGCCACACUGGGCCUGAGACACGGCCCAGACGCCGACGGGAGGCAGAAGGAGGGAAUCUUCCGCAAUGGACGAAAGUCUGACGGAGCAACGCCGCGUGAGUGAUGAAGGCUUUCGGGUCGUAAAACUCUGUUGUUAGGGAAGAACAAGUGCUAGUUGAAUAAGCUGGCACCUUGACGGUACCUAACCAGAAAGCCACGGCUAACUACGUGCCAGCCGCCGCUGUAA
rnacentral:rRNA from 1 species